GAUGAACGCUAGCGGGAGGCCUAACACAUGCAAGCCGAGCGGUAGAGUUUCUUCGGAAACUUGAGAGCGGCGCACGGGUGCGUAACACGUGUGCAACCUACCUUUAUCUGGGGGAUAGCCUUUCGAAAGGAAGAUUAAUACCCCAUAAUAUAAUGAUUGGCAUCAAUUAUUAUUGAAAACUCCGGUGGAUAGAGAUGGGCACGCGCAAGAUUAGAUAGUUGGUGAGGUAACGGCUCACCAAGUCAAUGAUCUUUAGGGGUCCUGAGAGGGAGAUCCCCCACACUGGUACUGAGACACGGACCAGACACCUACGGGAGGCAGCAGUGAGGAAUAUUGGACAAUGGGUGAGAGCCUGAUCCAGCCAUCCCGCGUGAAGGAUGACGGUCCUAUGGAUUGUAAACUUCUUUUGUACAGGGAUAAACCUACCCUCGUGAGGGUAGCUGAAGGUACUGUACGAAUAAGCACCGGCUAACUCCGUG
rnacentral:rRNA from 1 species